GACGAACGCUGGCGGCGUGCUUAACACAUGCAAGUCGAACGGAAAGGCCCUGCUUUUGUGGGGUGCUCGAGUGGCGAACGGGUGAGUAACACGUGAGUAACCUGCCCUUGACUUUGGGAUAACUUCAGGAAACUGGGGCUAAUACCGGAUAGGAGCUCCUGCUGCAUGGUGGGGGUUGGAAAGUUUCGGCGGUUGGGGAUGGACUCGCGGCUUAUCAGCUUGUUGGUGGGGUAGUGGCUUACCAAGGCUUUGACGGGUAGCCGGCCUGAGAGGGUGACCGGCCACAUUGGGACUGAGAUACAGCCCAGACUCCUACGGGGGGCAGCAGGGGGGAAUAUUGCACAAUGGGCGGAAGCCUGAUGCAGCAACGCCGCGUGCGGGAUGACGGCCUUCGGGUUGUAAACCGCCUUCGCCUGUGACGAAGCGUGAGUGACGGUAAUGGGUAAAGAAGCACCGGCUAACUACGUG
rnacentral:rRNA from 1 species